AGGGCCCCUGCGUAUGGGGCUGGCUGCCGGUGCCAGAGCAAGGCCAGCCUGAAUGCCUCAGCCUGGGGAGCCACCAUUCAGGGCUAAAUUGACAGCUCAGAGAUACAGGAGUUCAGCCUGCUAAUUUGCUGCAAGAUACGGCAAAGGAAAGCCACUGACACCUGCGUCUCCAGCUGCCAGGAAGUGGGGCGAAUUUGCCAGUGACUUUGUCGUUGUCUAGCCACAGUGAGUAGUCCCAUGUUCCUCCUCCUCCAAGGACUUCCUUGGGAGAAUUUCAGAGCUUCUCUAGAAGAGAGUGAGUCCCAUUUCUUUCCUGAAAAUUCCUGGGAUGACGACGCCUGGUCAACCCAGCUUGGGUCAGCUGCCUUCCCCUAACCCAGUCAGCUCCGGACAGGCCCAUCGUUCAGCAUCGCUGCAUGCAUGGUAAACCCGGAAGAUGUAGGCGGUUUCCAGAAAAGCGUGGGCAGGAACAUUUCUUCUGAUUUUUCUCGUCACCCCACCAAAGGGCCAAUCUAGCAAACCAGGCUAUACUCCUAACUUGGGAGGUGGGAACACUGAACACGAGACAGACAGACAGACAGAGAGGUUGGCCUUUCAUCUGUACUGUGUAUUGAGCAAUCACAUCUAGUAUGAAAACACACUCUGCUCAGAUAUACUCACUCCUUAAGAGAAGAUGGCGGGAAAGACGCUCUAUAUUGGGAUUAUUAUUAAUUAAGAAAGGCUCAUGGGGGCUUUCCUGGUGGCACAGUGGUUGAGAGUCCGCCUGCCAAUGCACAGGACACGGGUUCGUGCCCCGGUCUGGGAGGAUCCCACAUGCCGCGGAGCGGCUGGGCCCGUGAGCCAUGGCCGCUGAGCCUGCGCGUCCGGAGCCUGUGCUCUGCAACGGGAGAGGCCACAGCGGUGAGAGGCCCGCGUACGGCAAAAAAACAAAAAACCAAAAAAAAGAAAGCCUCAUGGAUGCUAACAGAGAAACUCUGGAAUCAUCUGGGAAUCCCUUGAAGAAGCUGAGCCUUCUCUCCUGCUACCCACAGCCCAGUCUGCCCCAUCCUGAAAGGUGUCAAGGAACUGCACGGAUCAGGCUGACCAUGGAAGACCCAGGGUGGAGACAGACGCAAUGUCCCGUUCACACCUCACCAAGGAAGUGACUUGGUCAGGCGGCUCAAGGAGAAACUGGUGGUAACAGUGUCUAAGGCAGAUUCUUGGGUAGAGCACCUAGUACUUGGUAAUCCUCAGGAGAGUUAUUUAAAUUUCUGGGACUUUGGUUUUCCCAACCAGAAACUGAGCUUACCUCAUAGGGUUGUUGUAAAGAUUAAAUGCAUAAGUGGAGGUAAAAUACUUAGACUAGUACUUGGCAAAUAGUAAUUGGCCAUUAAAAUGUUAGCUGUGUUUAUUAGAGUACCUGUGAAUUCAUGCACACACCCACACACACACACCCACAGACACACACACACACACACACACACACACACACACAACCAAACACACAGCCAUGACCUUUGGCCUGAGUUUGGAUGACACACUCUCAUGGAGCUGUUCACUGACAGCUAAAUGAAAGUGUUAAGUGUCGGAUUCAGUCUCUUUCAUCAGGGCUACCAGCCAGCAAAAUGUGUGGAAGGAUCUCUUCAUUCAAUGUUUCCAGAGUUGUGAUAUAUGGUUCCCUGCCCUGGAACAGUGUAUGUCAGAGAGUGUACAUAUAUACAGGGCACUCCGAGCUCUGCAUCACUUUUUGCCUUCUCUGUGAAGUCUUCCCUGACCUGUCCAACAGAAGUGCUGAUUCUCCCCACUGAUUUCCUACAAUAUUUAUCAUCUGUGCCAUUCACUGUAUAGUCAGUAUUUACUGUGUAAUAUUGUUUAUUUACUUUUAGCUUUUUUGUGUGCAUGUAUUUUCUUUCCCAGAUAAGACUGUAAACCUUUGGGGACAGAAUUACUCUUGUUACUCACUAUGUCACUCACUUUUGUAUGUCCAAAGAGCAGAGCAAGGUGCUUUGCACAUAGAAUAUGUUUAAUAAAGUCCUUUGAUGACACAACCAAAGGUUUGAUGAUACUGGCUUUUUUAAUUUCCAAAUGACACAGUACUAAACUAGUGACCAAAAUGGAAUGACCUAUUUCCACAACAUCGCCUCCUCGAGCCUCAUGACUACAAAAGACGUAACAAAACUCCUUUCACUUAUUUCUCCUUCAUGCCAACAUCUCCUCUGGUAAUAUUCAAAUGGAGGUUUGCCUUGGAAUUUGGGGGGCCAGGAAGGUAGGUAGUAAACGGGAGACACUAGAAUUGGGAUGUGUGGGACUAUUUG